ACCAGGCUGACGAGUCUCAAGUAGGACGAAACACGUGUCCUGGAU
rfam:Schistosoma mansoni, Puerto Rico, WGS project CABG01000000 data, contig: 0256